UACAGAGGGGGCAAGCGUUGUUCGGAAUUACUGGGCGUAAAGGGCGCGUAGGCGGCCUGUUAAGUCGAACGUGAAAUCCCCGGGCUCAACCCGGGAACUGCGUCCGAUACUGGCAGGCUUGAAUUCGGGAGAGGGAUGCGGAAUUCCAGGUGUAGCGGUGAAAUGCGUAGAUAUCUGGAGGAACACCGGUGGCGAAGGCGGCAUCCUGGAUCGAGAUUGACGCUGAGGCGCGAAAGCCAGGGGAGCAAACGGG
rnacentral:rRNA from 1 species